GUACCGCUAUUCAGAGUUUGAUCCUGGCUACAGGACGAACGCUGGCGGCACGCUUAACACAUGCAAGUCGAACGGAGAUAAUUACUUCGGUAUUUAUCUUAGUGGCGGACGGGUGAGUAACACGUGAGGAACCUGCCUCUGAGUGCGGAAUAGCUUCUGGAAACGGAUGGUAAUACCGCAUAAUAUUAUGUUAUCGCAUGGUAAUAUAAUCAAAGAUUUAUUGCUCAGAGAUGGCCUCGCGUCUGAUUAGCUAGUUGGUGAGGUAACGGCCCACCAAGGCGACGAUCAGUAGCCGGACUGAGAGGCUGGACGGCCACAUUGGGACUGAGACACGGCCCAG
rnacentral:rRNA from 1 species